UGCCCCAUGGCUGAGUUGGUUACAGCGUCCGACUGUUAUAAAUGAGAAUAUUUCUUUGUGUCUUAAACAAUCGGAAGGUCGUGAGUUCGAGCCUCACUGGGGCAG
rfam:Moniliophthora roreri MCA 2997 sctg_0051_0006, whole genome shotgun sequence.